rnacentral:rRNA from 2 species
CUACACAUGCAGUCGAGGGGUAUAGGAAGCUUGCUUCCUAGAGACCGGCGCACGGGUGCGUAACGCGUAUGCAAUCUACCUUUUACAGGGGGAUAGCCCAGAGAAAUUUGGAUUAAUACCCCAUAGUAUUAUAGAAUGGCAUCAUUUUAUAAUUAAAGUCACAACGGUAAAAGAUGAGCAUGCGUCCCAUUAGCUAGUUGGUAAGGUAACGGCUUACCAAGGCGACGAUGGGUAGGGGUCCUGAGAGGGAGAUCCCCCACACUGGUACUGAGACACGGACCAGACUCCUACGGGAGGCAGCAGUGAGGAAUAUUGGUCAAUGGACGCAAGUCUGAACCAGCCAUGCCGCGUGCAGGAUGACGGUCCUAUGGAUUGUAAACUGCUUUUGUACAGGAAGAAACCCUCUUUCGUGAAAGAGAUUGACGGUACUGUAAGAAUAAGGAUCGGCUAACUCCGUGCCAGCAGCCGCGGUAAUACGGAGGAUCCAAGCGUUAUCCGGAAUCAUUGGGUUUAAAGGGUCCGUAGGCGGUUUUGUAAGUCAGUGGUGAAAUCUGGUCGCUCAACGAUCAAACGGCCAUUGAUACUGCAAGACUUGAAUUACUAGGAAGUAACUAGAAUAUGUAGUGUAGCGGUGAAAUGCUUAGAUAUUACAUGGAAUACCAAUUGCGAAGGCAGGUUACUACUAGUGGAUUGACGCUGAUGGACGAAAGCGUGGGGAGCGAACAGGAUUAGAUACCCUGGUAGUCCACGCCGUAAACGAUGGAUACUAGCUGUUGGGAGUAAUUUCAGUGGCUAA